UACGUAGGGUGCAAGCGUUGUCCGGAAUUAUUGGGCGUAAAGGGCUCGUAGGCGGUUUGUCGCGUCGGGAGUGAAAACACCGGGCUUAACUCGGUGCUUGCUUUCGAUACGGGCAGACUAGAGGCAUGCAGGGGAGAACGGAAUUCCUGGUGUAGCGGUGAAAUGCGUAGAUAUCUGGAGGAACACCGGUGGCGAAGGCGGCAUCCUGGACCAACACUGACGCUGAGGGAGCGAAAGCCAGGGGAGCAAACGGG
rnacentral:rRNA from 1 species